GAUGAACGCUGGCGGCGUGCCUAAUACAUGCAAGUCGAGCGAACGGACGAGAAGCUUGCUUCUCUGAUGUUAGCGGCGGACGGGUGAGUAACACGUGGAUAACCUACCUAUAAGACUGGGAUAACUUUGGGAAACCGGAGCUAAUACCGGAUAAUAUUUUGAACCGCAUGGUUCAAAAGUGAAAGACGGUCUUGCUGUCACUUAUAGAUGGAUCAGCGCUGCAUUAGCUAGUUGGUAAGGUAACGGCUUACCAAGGCAACGAUGCAUAGCCGACCUGAGAGGGUGAUCGGCCACACUGGAACUGAGACACGGUCCAGACUCCUACAGGAGGCAGCAGUAGGGAAUCUUCCGCAAUGGGCGAAAGCCUGACGGAGCAACGCCGCGUGAGUGAUGAAGGUCUUCGGAUCGUAAAACUCUGUUAUUAGGGAAGAACAUAUGUGUAAGUAACUGUGCACAUCUUGACGGUACCUAAUCAGAAAGCCACGGCUAACUACGUG
rnacentral:rRNA from 1 species